GACGAACGCUGGCGGCGUGCUUAACACAUGCAAGUCGAACGAAGUGGCGAACGGGUGAGUAACGCGUAAUCAACCUGCCCUUCAGAGGGGGACAACAGUUGGAAACGCCUGCUAAUACCGCAUACUGAAGGCGGGGAUUGCGUCUGCUUAGCUAGUUGGUGGGGUAACGGCCCACCAAGGCGAUGAUCAGUAGCCGGGUUGGGAGGAUGAACGGCCAAAUUGGGAAUGAGACACGGCCCAGACUCCUACGGGAGGCAGCAGGGGGGAAUCUUCCGAAAUGGACGAAAGUCUGACGGAGCAACGCCGCGUGAGUGAUGACGGCCUUCGGGUUGUAAAGCUCUGUUAAUCGGGACGCGGUACCGGAAUAGAAAGCCACGGCUAACUACGUGCCAGCAGCCGCGGUAAUUC
rnacentral:rRNA from 1 species